UGGGGAAUAUUGCACAAUGGGCGCAAGCCUGAUGCAGCCAUGCCGCGUGUAUGAAGAAGGCCUUCGGGUUGUAAAGUACUUUCAGUCGGGAGGAAGGUGGUAAGGUUAAUAACCUUAUCAAUUGACGUUACCGACAGAAGAAGCACCGGCUAACUCCGUGCCAGCAGCCGCGGUAAUACGGAGGGUGCAAGCGUUAAUCGGAAUUACUGGGCGUAAAGCGCACGCAGGCGGUUGAUUGAGUCAGAUGUAAAAUCCCCGGGCUUAACCCUGGAAUUGCAUCUGAUACUGGUCAGCUAGAGUCUUGUAGAGGGGGGUAGAAUUCCAUGUGUAGCGGUGAAAUGCGUAGAGCUCUGGAGGAAUACCGGUGGCGAAGGCGGCCCCCUGGACAAAGACUGACGCUCAGGUGCGAAAGCGUGGGGAGCAAACAGG
rnacentral:rRNA from 1 species